CACGUAGGGGGCGAGCGUUGUCCGGAUUUAUUGGGCGUAAAGAGCGUGUAGGCGGUCCGGUAAGUCCGCUGUGAAAGUCGGGGGCUCAACCCUCGAAUGCCGGUGGAUACUGUCGGGCUAGAGUGCGGAAGAGGCGAGUGGAAUUCCUGGUGUAGCGGUGAAAUGCGCAGAUAUCAGGAGGAACACCUAUUGCGAAGGCAGCUCGCUGGGACGUUACUGACGCUGAGACGCGAAAGCGUGGGGAGCGAACAGG
rnacentral:rRNA from 1 species